rnacentral:rRNA from 1 species
GUCCACAGCUGUAAACGAUGUGCACUAGAUGUGGGGAAGUGUUGACCUUUCCUGUGUCGCAGCUAACGCAUUAAGUGCACCGCCUGGGGAGUACGGCCGCAAGGUUAAAACUCAAAGGAAUUGACGGGGGCCCGCACAAGCGGUGGAGUAUGUGGUUUAAUUCGACGCAACGCGCAGAACCUUACCUAGACUUGACAUCCCGGGGAUUUUUCUGGAAACAGAGAAGUGCUUUAGCAAUAAAGAACCCGGUGACAGGUGCUGCAUGGCUGUCGU